GAUGAACGCUGGCGGCGUGCCUAAUACAUGCAAGUCGAGCGAACAGAUGAGGAGCUUGCUCCUCUGACGUUAGCGGCGGACGGGUGAGUAACACGUGGAUAACCUACCUAUAAGACUGGGAUAACUUCGGGAAACCGGAGCUAAUACCGGAUAAUAUAUUGAACCGCAUGGUUCAAUAGUGAAAGACGGUUUUGCUGUCACUUAUAGAUGGAUCCGCGCCGCAUUAUCUAGUUGGUAAGGUAACGGCUUACCAAGGCAACGAUGGUAGCCGACCUGAGAGGGUGGUCGGCCACACUGGAACUGAGACACGGUCCAGACUCCUACGGGAGGCAGCAGUAGGGAAUCUUCCGCAAUGGGCGAAAGCCUGACGGAGCAACGCCGCGUGAGUGAUGAAGGUCUUCGGAUCGUAAAACUCUGUUAUUAGGGAAGAACAAAUGUGUAAGUAACUAUGCACGUCUUGACGGUACCUAAUCAGAAAGCCACGGCUAACUACGUG
rnacentral:rRNA from 1 species